UCACCCUAAUUUCUUGCCUUCUUUUGGAUUUUUUAAAUUAUUUCAAUUUCUUCUACUAUGGUACGUGUGUACAACGUGCAGGUUUGUUACAUAUGUAUACAUGUGCCAUGCUGGUGUGCUGCACCCAUUAAUUCGUCAUUUAGCAUUAAGUAUAUCUUUCAAUAUAAUCUAAGGGGAAUCUCUGGAGCACAAAUUGCACCACAGAGUUAGUCCUCCUUGAAAGAAGGGGGCUUUUUGUACUCCUGUCAGUCAAACAUUAUUGAUUCCAUGUCUUUGCUAUUGUGAAUAUUGCUGCAAUGAACAUAUGUGUGCCUGUAUCUUUAU
rnacentral:lncRNA from 1 species